rnacentral:rRNA from 1 species
AUUGAACGCUGGCGGCAGGCCUAACACAUGCAAGUCGAGCGGAUGAAGGGAGCUUGCUCCUGGAUUCAGCGGCGGACGGGUGAGUAAUGCCUAGGAAUCUGCCUUGUAGUGGGGGAUAACGUCCGGAAACGGGCGCUAAUACCGCAUACGUCCUGAGGGAGAAAGUGGGGGAUCUUCGGACCUCACGCUAUCAGAUGAGCCUAGGUCGGAUUAGCUAGUUGGUGGGGUAAAGGCCUACCAAGGCGACGAUCCGUAACUGGUCUGAGAGGAUGAUCAGUCACACUGGAACUGAGAAACGGUCCAGACUCCUACGGGAGGCAGCAGUGGGGAAUAUUGGACAAUGGGCGAAAGCCUGAUCCAGCCAUGCCGCGUGUGUGAAGAAGGUCUUCGGAUUGUAAAGCACUUUAAGUUGGGAGGAAGGGCAGUAAGUUAAUACCUUGCUGUUUUGACGUUACCAACAGAAUAAGCACCGGCUAACUUCGUG